AUCACAUGAUUCCAAUCACGCAUAAUCAUUGAGAACAUAAAUGUUCUGAAAUAAAAGAUGUCUAUAGCCAACAAUCAAGAUUUGUAGUUUUGCGUACAAAAGCAUCGACUACCUCUCUGAAGUCCAGUUGGGCAAGGUACAGGCAGGCAUUUCCCAGGGUCCUCGGUAAUUACACCCAGGUUUCUGUUCCAUUGGCUCCAGUUGACUUCCUCCACACUGAAAGAAAGAGGGCACAUGCUUCAAUUAUUGCUUAUGGUUUCACUCAAGUGUGUAAACACACAGUAAACACAGUUCAGUACAGGGGGACAAAUGCAAACUUCAGAUCUUGUGGUUUUGGGUGGAAGCCACCAGGGUCACCUAAAACACCAGCGUAUAUCAGGCUCCUGCCCCCUGCCUAGGUCCUUUUCUUUCCCGGAACGCAGCCUUGUCUUCAGACAGCGGGGAAGAAUCCACUCCAUGUCCAAAGUGUUUCCAGAUGUUGGCGCUCUCUACGGACAUCUCCUCCACUCUUUGAUUCAUCAGAGCGAUCAGCAUGUUUAGCAUCAAAAUAGAACCCAAUGAGGAAGACCAUGUACACGACAAGGAAUCGACGAAUUUCCCCAAGAACCAUCUGACAACAAUUAAAGAGUGACUGUUAUCAGCUAUGGAUACUAGUGCGUGAAGCACCGUGUUUCCAUGAGAGUCCUUCUUCCUGACAUCCACCGCCUGGUACUGAUGUAAACCCUGCAGUUUAGACACAUCGCCACUGGACACGGCAUCAAAAAGCCUCUUGAGGUUAAACCUCUCACUGUCCUGCUGAGCUGGUUCCUCUUUCACUUUUCUGAUUCCCCUGUGUGCAGAAUGUAUCUGAUAAAGUAAAGAUUUCUAGUGUUAUGUUUAUCAGACACUCCGGUGUGGUUUAAGGAGGCCCCUUACCUGUCAAAGUGUAGGUUAACUUUAAUUGUGGGUGCAGACUCCUCUGUCUCAUCCAAGUAGUUAGAAUCCAUAGGCCUCCUGUCCUUUGAGGUGCCUUUUUUCAUCUGUUUGGCCUUUGACCUUUCCUCCUCUGUCAGGUCA